rnacentral:rRNA from 1 species
UACGUAGGGGGCAAGCGUUGUCCGGAUUUAUUGGGCGUAAAGAGCGUGUAGGCGGCUAGGUAGGUCCGUUGUGAAAACUCGAGGCUCAACCUCGAGACGCCGGUGGAAACCAUCUAGCUAGAGUCCGGAAGAGGAGAGUGGAAUUCCUGGUGUAGCGGUGAAAUGCGCAGAUAUCAGGAAGAACACCCGUGGCGAAGGCGGCUACCUGGAGCUUUGCUGACGCUGAUGCGCGAAAGCGUGUGGAGCGAUCCGG